GCGCCCUUAAGAAACGAGUCUGCUUGGAUAGGAGUUUCAUCCUCCUACUGCAGUCGACUUCCAACAAACAACCAGUUAUGUUUAGCGACGUUAGUGUGUGUCCGCUACUAGAUUAGAUUGGUUCACUGGAAUAAAGUUAGAGUCAUAGGAGUCUUUUCUCACUCGUUGUCCUCCCACCUAGCUACACUACACUAGUUAUCUUAGAGUUAUCCAAAACCACAUCAACCUUCCUCUACGUCUUCGUUACCUCACUACCUUAGUUGAUCCUAGCUGGGAUAUGAUUUCUCCUCGUUGCUAUCUUCUCUAGUAUGCUUUCCCUUGGACAAACUAUAAAUCACGACACCACGGAUACUCACCAUGGUCGAAGUGCUACAUUGGUAUCUGUGCGCUUGCAGAGUUACCCCUGGUACAUCUUGCGUCAUCACUAGAGCUUAGCAUUCCUUAGCAUUCCUAGAGCCGUUGCUCAGGGUAGCCUGACAAUCUAUCCUAGUAACAGCUUAGGCUUGCAUUUAAGUAGUGCUGGUUAGGCACCACCAUUUCUAGAUACUUGACACAUCUUACUCUAGCCGGUGUGCGUUAAGAUUUGCCAACAUCGACAGAGCUUUCUACUUCCGGUAGGCCAAAAGCUAAAGAACAAACAAAAUAAGAAGAAAGAGAAAAAAAAGGAAAAAGUCUUAAAUAGUGCUUACCUCGCUCGAGGUAGGGCCCCUUCUAGGAACUCAACGCCCACUGGGACCCGGGGGCAGCC
rnacentral:lncRNA from 1 species